GACGAACGCUGGCGGCGUGCUUAACACAUGCGAGUCGAACGGAAAGGCCCCAGCUUGCUGGGGUACUCGAGUGGCGAACGGGUGAGUAACACGUGGGUGAACUGCACUGCACUCUGGGAUAAGCCUGGGAAACUGGGUCUAAUACCGGAUAGGACCGUGCUUUCGUGUGUGUGGUGGAAAGUUUUUCGGUGCUGGAUGCGCCCGCGGCCUAUCAGCUUGUUGGUGGGGUAAUGGGCUACCAAGGCGGCGACGGGUAGCCGGCCUGGGAGGGGGUACGGCCACAUUGGGACUGAGACACGGCCCAGACUCCUACGGGAGGCAGCAGUGGGGAAUAUUGCACAAUGGGCGCAAGCCUGAUGCAGCGGCGCCGCGUGGGGGAUGACGGCCUUCGGGUUGUAAACCCCUUUCGGCAGGGACGAAGCUUUUGUGACGGUACCUGCAUAAGAAGCACCGGCUAACUACGUG
rnacentral:rRNA from 1 species